rnacentral:tRNA from 1 species
GCUGGAGUGGCAGAGUCAGGAAAUUGCAGAAGACCUAAGCCCUUCAUAUCAAGGGUUCAAAUCCCUUCUCCAUCU